rnacentral:rRNA from 1 species
GAUGAACGCUGGCGGCGUGCUUAACACAUGCAAGUCGAACGAUGAAGCCCAGCUUGCUGGGUGGAUUAGUGGCGAACGGGUGAGUAACACGUGAGUAACCUGCCCUUAACUCUGGGAUAAGCCUGGGAAACUGGGUCUAAUACCGGAUAGGAGCGUCCACCGCAUGGUGGGUGUUGGAAAGAUUUAUCGGUUUUGGAUGGACUCGCGGCCUAUCAGCUUGUUGGUGAGGUAAUGGCUCACGAAGGCGACGACGGGUAGCCGGCCUGAGAGGGUGACCGGCCACACUGGGACUGAGACACGGCCCAGACUCCUACGGGAGGCAGCAGUGGGGAAUAUUGCACAAUGGGCGAAAGCCUGAUGCAGCGACGCCGCGUGAGGGAUGACGGCCUUCGGGUUGUAAACCUCUUUCAGUAGGGAAGAAGCGAAAGUGACGGUACCUGCAGAAGAAGCACCGGCUAACUACGUG